GUCUAUGGCCAUACCACCCUGAUCCGGGAAGCUAAGUAGGGUCAGGCCUGGCCAUUAUUUGGAUGGGAGACCACUUGAGAUUACAAGAUGCUGUAGUUU
rnacentral:rRNA from 1 species